rnacentral:lncRNA from 1 species
UGGUCUCAGUUACAGUUUUGAUACUGAGUGGCGGAUCUGUGGGGUUUGGGUGUUGUCGGGUGUUGUCGUCGUUCCCACCCCCAGGCUGUGGACAGCUAGAUAAACAGAAAACAGCUAUUUGUCCCCAUUGAUAGGCCUGUGUUAGUCUGAGAAGGUUUGACUUUUUUUUUUUUUUUUUUUUUUUGAGCUCAGGACUGGUUGGUGGCCCUUGACCCGGUGUCUGCACUUGGCUAGGAUCUGGAUGCUGCCAGCCAUCCUGCAAAAGGGAGGAGCAUGCUGCUCUAGCUCCUAGGAUCUAGAAAAGGAAGGAGAGGCUUGGGACAGGUCUGUUCCCACCCCACCCCCCACCCCCAUGCCCCUCCAGAGAAGGAGGCGGUUUUAAGACCAGUUCAAAUCAUUUUGGCCAGGGACUCACUAUUCCCCCCCCCUCCCCCGCUCCCCACCACCCCACCCCGGGAGGUGAUCUUGAUGUGCAAUUAUUUUAACAUUGAAGACAAGUUUUAAAUAAAAGCUGGCAGUACUGGUUGUUGCAGAAGUGGACUUGAAUUCCUAAGGCUGGCAGGACAAGUAGAGCCUUCCACAAUUGUGAUUGAUAAUGUUUGUAGUCAGUUUCUCCCUUCUGUUUUCAAUUUAGGGUAUGUCGCGCACGUAGUAGCGUGUUGGAAGUUCAUGAAGUUCCUUUAGGAAGAGCUUGAAGAUGCCUUCUUGUCAUCAUAGCGGCUCUGCUUCAUUGACAUUUUAUGGAGACUGGAGAGGAGAGAGUCUUGUACACCCUGGGAGCUGGCAGCAGAGGACGCCUCGGAGCAGCCUGGAGGUGUACCUUUGCAGUGCUCUUAAGCAGUACGCCUUUCUCCGCCCCUGCUUCUUGCAGGGGGCCCUGAAGACUGAGUGCAGGACCCACUGGCGGACUGUUGAGUUGAUGUUUUAUCUGGGCAAGUGUGACUUUCCUGAACUGCACACCCUAUGGAAACUUUUUGUUCUUGCCCUUAAAAAAGCCUGAAAUAAGCAAAUACUCAGACCAGCACAACUGCCAUCAUUACCACCACCACGCACACCUCUCUGAUGUGUAAUAAAAGAGACCUGCAGGCGUAAUUUGUUAUGUAA